CGGGAAAUAGCUCAGUUUGGUAGAGCGCUACGUUCGGGACGUAGAGGUCGCCGGUUCAAGUCCGAUUUUCCCGA
rnacentral:tRNA from 19 species